GUGCUUGCUUCAGCAGCACAUAUAUUAAAAUUGGAAUGAUACAGAGAAGAUUAGUGUGGCCCCUGCACAAGGAUGACAUACAAAUUCAUGAAGCAUUCCAUACUUAA
rnacentral:snRNA from 1 species